CCUACGGGGCGCUGCAGUGGGGAAUAUUGCACAAUGGGGGAAACCCUGAUGCAGCGACGCCGCGUGAGUGAAGAAGUAAUUCGUUACGUAAAGCUCUAUCAGCAGGGAAGAAACACUGACCUUACGGUCAGCAGACGGUACCUGAGUAAGAAGCCCCGGCUAACUACGUGCCAGCAGCCGCGGUAAUACGUAGGGGGCAAGCGUUAUCCGGAUUUACUGGGUGUAAAGGGAGCGUAGACGGCAGCGCAAGUCUGGAGUGAAAUGCCGGGGCCCAACCCCGGAACUGCACUGGAAACUGUGAAGCUGGAGUGCAGGAGGGGUAAGCGGAAUUCCGGGUGUAGCGGUGAAAUGCGUAGAUAUCAGGAGGAACACCGGUGGCGAAGGCGGCUUACUGGACCAUAACUGACGUUGAGGCUCGAAAGCGUGGGGAGCGAACAGGAUUAGAUACCCGAGUAGUC
rnacentral:rRNA from 1 species